rnacentral:misc_RNA from 1 species
AUUGUGUAUACUAUAUCGUUAGCGUUUACUUGUAAUCUCAAUUUAUUCAGGGAGAGGGCGUUUUCAAUUUGAAAUAGUUUUGAACGACUAAGCACUGGAACCAAACGACUCUGACAUACAUAAUCAAUAUCCUUGAUACCCAAUGAGCAAUCGGUAUGUUUUGGUCUGCAGUUCUGAUUCUGAUACUAUCAAUAUUAGUUAUAUCGUUUUCCGAUUAUGAAUUUGAAGUUUUCCCUGUUGAAGUCUGUCCUCGAAACACGGAAGAAAGUACCAACGCAUCACUUCGGUUAAACUGCAACACAACACAUGGAUAUCACUGUGUACCUAACAAAAACUUUACAUCUCUCAUUGAAUUUUGUUAUCCAAGGGGAGAAAAGAUUCCAUUUCACAAGGGUAACUGUUUAGAACUAGCAGACGUUGGUAUUCUAAAUCAUGUAAAAUGCGACAAGACCUUCCUUUGUGGUUGUCCUGAUGAAUUCUACUUCAGCAACGAACUCUACAAAUAUCCACUGUGCACAAAUAUAAACCCACAAUUUGGAUGCUUUAGUGCGGACAUGGAAUGUAUUGUGUCAAGAUUUAUGGAGAACAUGACAAAGACACACAACUAUUCCAACUAUAUAACUGACAAAAACAACAAAAAUGAAUAUAACUAUUCCAACAAUUCCAACAACAGCAUCGAUACAGACAACCAAAAAGAUAACGCCUGUGUUGUUGGGUGCACUGUGGAUAUAGUGGUAUCUGUAACUGUGACAUUGGCUCUAUCUGUAAUCAUUAUUAUGAUGAUUUUUCUUCUGCAGUGGAUACGGGACAGAAAAAAUGACCACAAAUCUCUGCCAUGUAAGCCCAUUGUUCAAUAUUCACCUGCGUCUUCUGAAGAUCCACAAGUUAAAACGUUGUCUUCUGAAUCAGAUUCCUAUAAUGAUGGAAAUAUACCACUGAGACACGAAGUAGUCGACAUAGUGAAUUGAAUCCGAUAUCAGCCAUUCGACGAAGAAUCAUGGAAGGAAGACAGCAAUCAUCCGUUGAAACUGCAAGGAAACAAUUAGGCCGUAGAGGAUUUAAUCCCUUACAUAUUGCCGCUAAAGAGGGCAAUUUGGAUGCGUUUAAGACAACUUAUGAAGCUUGUAAUGAUAUCUCAUCCACGACAACAGAUGGGCGCAACAUUCUGCACAUUGCCUCAUAUUACGGGAAUCAUGAUAUUUGCGAGUACAUUUUGACUGAGAGGAAAGAAUUGUAUGAGAAAACAGACAAUAACCAAAUGUAUCCUGCACACUGGGCCGCCCUUGCCGGACAUGUAAACAUUCUGGAACUAAUGUCAAACCAUGGCUGUGAUUUAGCAUAUAAAACUCGUAAAUACGAAGAAAACAUUGUAUUGUUUGCGUGUAUGAACACGGGUUUAGAUGUGUUUAAAUUUGUGGCAAAAAAUGAAAAUUUAGCUACUUUACUUCACGCCAAAAACAGAGAAAAUUGGAAUUCAAUUCAGUAUGCAGCCAAAAAUGGAAAUCUCGAAGCAGUCAAGUUUCUUUACGAGAAUGGCGUUGAUAUUAAAAACAAAUCCCAUAAAACGGGGAAAAAUUGUUUACAUACAGCUUGUGAGAAAGGAUUCAAUGACGUAUGUGCAUAUAUAUUGCAAAAAUGUCCAGACCUAAUACAAGAAAAGGACAAGAAUAACAAACAUGUCGGUCACUUUGUGGCAAAGAGUGGUAAUACAAAUAUCCUUAAAGAAUUGUUAAAAUACAGAGAUAAAUCGUUAUGGAAAAAGGCCACUUCAGACAAUGUCAACGUUCUGCAUAUUGCCUGCAAAUACGCAAGGCUUGACAUGUGUAUUGAAUUCGAAAAACUAGAUAUUCUUCAUGAUUUGGUUCUUGAACUCACUGAGAAAGGUUGGAAUGCUGCUUUAUUUUUAACAGAGAGAGCUGAAAACGAGUUGAAGCGAAUUGAAAUUUUGAAACUUCUUGAUAAACAUGGCCUAGACGUUCAUCAUGCAUCAAGAGCAGGAAAAACCAUUCUAUACAAUGCUUGUGCAAAUCAGUCUACAAAAUUAAUCGAAUACCUAUUACAAAAUUAUCCUGAUUUGUUAUGUCUCGAAAGAUCUAUUGAUGCUAAAACUGCCACAGAUUCAACUGAAAUUAAAUCACUUCUUGAUGAGUAUCGGCAAAAAAUAGUUGGACAUCAAUAACCAUAAAUUUUUGUGUUGUUAUUAAUUAUGACUACUGACUUAUUACAUAUCUAAGGCAAUGUUGUUUUCUUUAAUUUUAGCAAGUGUCUAAGGAGGCAACCUUUUAAAAAUGUAAAUAUUUUGGUAUGCAAUUAGUUCAUGUACAACUAUAAAAGAAACAGUUUCGGUUAAACCUGUGUUUUUUCUUAGUUUAAUUUCAUAAUAUAGUACAAUACCACGCAUGUCAGCCAUUUCAAAAUACUACAUGUACUAAUUUUCUUCGUGUUGUUUCACUAUGUUUCUUAUUGGAAAAAAAUGAACAAAUUUGUUUUAAAAGAAGAUAGCGUUUUUGAAAAUGAAAAAAAUAAAUAAUCAAAACUGUAUUUUAUACUUUUGUAUAAUUGCCAUUUAUAAUUCUAAUUCAAAAUACAAAAAAUGUGAUAUUUUUUUAAUGCAUCGUUUCGAAAUUUUAGUAUUUUUAAGCAACGUAAGGAAAUUUUUUGUACGACAGACUAACACACUAUUGUAAAUAAACAAAUAAAUUAUUUUUUGAAAUU